UACGUAGGGUGCGAGCGUUAAUCGGAAUUACUGGGCGUAAAGCGUGCGCAGGCGGUUAUGCAAGACAGAUGUGAAAUCCCCGGGCUCAACCUGGGAAUGGCAUUUGUGACUGCAUAGCUAGAGUGUGUCAGAGGGGGGUAGAAUUCCACGUGUAGCAGUGAAAUGCGUAGAUAUGUGGAGGAAUACCGAUGGCGAAGGCAGCCCCCUGGGAUAACACUGACGCUUAUGCACGAAAGCGUGGGGAGCAAACAGG
rnacentral:rRNA from 1 species